GAUGAACGCUAGCGGCAGGCCUAAUACAUGCAAGUCGAACGAUAUCUUCCAGCUUGCUGGAAGAGAAAGUGGCGCACGGGUGCGUAACGCGUAUGCAACCUACCUUUAUCAGGGGGAUAGCCCGGAGAAAUCCGGAUUAAUACCGCAUAACAUCAUGGGGUGGCAUUAUUUUAUGAUCAAACAUUUAUGGGAUAAAGAUGGGCAUGCGUGUCAUUAGCUAGUUGGCGGGGUAACGGCCCACCAAAGCGACGAUGACUAGGGGAUCUGAGAGGAUGGCCGCCCACACUGGUAAUGAGACACGGACCAGAUUCCUACGGGAGGCAGCAGUAAUGAAUAUUUGUCAAUGGAGGGAACUCUGAACCAGCCAUGCCGCGUGCAGGAAGACUGCCUUAUGGGUUGUAAACUGCUUUUAUCCGGGAAUAAACCUGAGUACGUGUACUUAGCUGAAUGUACCGGAAGAGUAAGGAUCGGCUAACUCCGUGCCAGCCGCCGCCGUAACAC
rnacentral:rRNA from 1 species